CACAAGAGUGUUCACAUAAGCGCAAAAAAUGCUGACCAAUAGGUCUGACUUCUUUUGGAGGGUUGAAACGUCCUUAGAGUGCUGCAGCUUUCUAAUGGCUUGUCAUGGUUGUGUGUUUCCAGUUGAACCAGCAGGUGACACUGUUGCUCCUCUGGUCAGUUGUUCCUCUGGGAAAGAGUUCAACAGGAAACAGGAAGUACCUGAACACUGAUUAACAGAUGAUUCAGUAUGCAGACUGGUGCAGAACAGAGUUUCAACACAACAUUGACAACAUUCAGAUGUGUAUCACACUGUUGUCAUGGUGAAAGAAAACCUCAGCUUAUAACCAGUGUUGGGCAAGUUACUUCCAGAAUAAAUGGUCCAGACUCUUCAGAGUUUAACUGACUGUGUUUAAAGAUGGAUUUUAUAAUAAGGAGGUCAGCAUUGACGCAGCACUGCUCCAUAAACCACUGGAACCACGCGCUCUAUUGUUUCAUGAUGUGAAAUGGAGCAGCAAGUUGGACAAACACUCGCUGAGCAAUCUCACCAAUCGGUCCCAAAACGUCCCAGUUAGAG